GCCCCGGUAGCUCAGCUGGCAGAGCGGCGGACUUGUAAUCCGCAGGCCGCGGGUUCGAAUCCCGCCCGGGGCUCCA
rnacentral:tRNA from 1 species